CGGACGGGUGAGUAACGCGUGGGUAACCUGCCUCAUACAGGGGGAUAACGGUUAGAAAUGACUGCUAAUACCGCAUAAGCGCACAGUACCACAUGGUACGGUGUGAAAAACUCCGGUGGUAUGAGAUGGACCCGCGUCUGAUUAGCUAGUUGGUGAGGUAACGGCCCACCAAGGCGACGAUCAGUAGCCGACCUGAGAGGGUGACCGGCCACAUUGGGACUGAGACACGGCCCAG
rnacentral:rRNA from 1 species